GGGAUUACAGGCGUGAGCCACCGCGCCCGGCCAAUUUCUAAGGCUCCAUUAGGGCUAAGGUUCAUGUAUCCAUGGUGAAGUAUAGAAGAACUCAGAAUCGUUCCAAACAUAAUGGGCUUGGAGUAAUGGAGAACUCCAAGGGCAGGAGGUAACCAUUAAAGAGGACCAUCAUGUAGUGUGAGGAGUCAACAUUUCACACUAGAAAGCCCUUGGUUCAAGUUUUGUCUCUGCCACCUACAGAUUUUGUAACCCUGAGAGAAAAGGAAAAUCCUACGGAGGAGGGGCUCUGAUGGCUUUGAAGAAGGCAGUGAAUGGCCACAUGUUCCCUGAGGACAGCACAGGCUAAAGGCUCAGCUAGAAGAAAGGCACAGAGAUAGCAAGGUCGAAACUAGCUACCUCUUUAUGUACUGCCCUAUGGAGAGGCACACAUGUCAAGAAACUGAGGGAGUGCCUUCCAGUCAACAGCCAGCCAGGAACUAAGGUGCUCAGUACAGCAGCCUCCACAAAGGACUGAACAAUGCCAACAGCUAUUUGACUGUGCUUGGAAGAUCUCCGUUUAGUUAACCCUUCAGAUGAGACCGCAGCCCUGGCCAGCAAACAAAUUGCAGCCUAUGGAAAGACCUUAAGGCAGAAGCACCCAACUGAACCACCCGAGGGCUCUGACUUACAGAAACUGUGAGCAGAUAGUGAAAUGGCCUCUACCUUAUUUUGAAUGGAUUUCUGGGAUAAAGUUCUUCAGUGAUAACAUGUUUGAAGAGGUCGAUUCACUUGUUUUUUUCCAUAGGUUUCAGGAAAGAGGCACUGGCCUUUACUUCUCCACCUCGAUUCACUUCCAUGCUGUUGACAAAUGUUAUAGUUGCCCAGGAUCAGAGGGAGAGACUGACCCUGUGACCAUUUCCCCAAAGGCGGCCUUUGGCCACUCCGUGCACUGGAGCACAUGACCCUCUGCCUCGCCCCUGCCACAUUAACCAGGCGGCUAUCUUAUGUGCCCAUGUUACAUGCUCAUGAUAAAGCUGCAUUUCCUGAGGGGACACCAAUGGAUACACCUCUGCCUGGCACGCAGCUUAGAGGCUAAAUGUAUGAAAAGCAACACCAUGCAAAUCAUUUUGAAACUGCUGUGGAACUCUCACGGGACCCUCCAUUCUAGACAUCCAGUCCCACUAGUGAUCUGACCAUGAAACCUACUAAGAGACUUCCAGAAGAAGAUGACCUCUGAAAGGAGAAAACUUUCUUCCAAGCUUCUGUGGAACAAGAAGAUGCCAUCCCUUUGGUGGAGCCCAAAGGGAAACCAGGACACUGAAGGAAUUAACCAGAAAGAAAAGAAGAGAAGAAGGAGAAGAAAGAAGAAGAAGAAGAAGGAGAAGGAGAAGGAGACGAGGGAAGAGGGAGAAGAGAGAGAAGAGGGAGGAAAAGAAGAAGAAGAAGAAGAAGAAGAAGAGGAAGAAGGGGAGGAAGGAGAAAGGAGGAAGGAGGAGGAGGAGAAGAAGAAGAGGAGGAGGAAGAAGAAAAUGGAGAUCAUUUGUACAAAUCUUGAAACCAAAGCACAGCCUGUAUGAACCCAUGUUGAACCCUGGACUUUCAGGACUACUGUAUGGCUAACCACAGCCCUGCAAGGCCAGGCUCAGCAUGUCACAGUUUUGCCACUGAACAAGAAUCUUUCGAAGGAUCGCAAAUACUACAUGGAAAAUGACUGUAUUCUUUCUGCAAGGCCACUCUCUUAGACAUCACCCUAACAAAA
rnacentral:lncRNA from 1 species